rnacentral:lncRNA from 1 species
GUUUAAACUGAGUGUAGCGGAAAUUGUAGCUAGAGCGCGAAACAGAUUUACCGUCUGAGCGGUAAAGGAAAAAAUAUGAAGCGUGAGCGCGAAACAAAAUGUUUGCGAGUCGUGUGAACAAGCAGACAGCCGCUCAUGCUGAUCAUUCCCAUGGUUUCUGUACAGUAACUGUAAUGUCUGCGUUGUAGCGCUGAGCGACACGGUUCAAUCAGCUACUACGAGGAAGUGAACACAUUGCGGAGCCAUGACUCUGGGGAAAAGGGCUCCUCGAGCAGCGCUGCCCAUCUGGGAGGUCUUCGUCUACUGGCUUCUGUCCUUGGGUUCUCACUUGUACUCCUUUUAUGAGCUGCACAGGUUCUCCAAAGGUCCAGAUCCAGAAUAAAUUUAAGGGUACUUCAGCGUUCUGCAUUGGGUUGGUCAUCUCAUCAAUAUGGUUGUUUCAUCUGAACCAGUCUACGGCACCUUAUGAAAGACAUUAAGUUUUGGAUGUUCCCCACAAGAUGAGUAAUCUACAUUUACAUUCUCAUUCAUUCAUUUAGAAGACACCUUUGGAUGCGGACACGUGAUUCUUGAGUACAAUUUGUCACGUUCUACCAUACGAACCAGGAGACGUCGCAAGUAGCCUUUCCAUCAUUAAACAAAUUGUCACUAAAACUUAUUACGCAUACUUAUCAAG